GCCAAUUCCACUAAUUUUAGAGUACUGAAAAGUGAUGAGCAUUGAAAUUAACUAAAUUAAAUUAAAUUAACUCUAAGAAAUCACAAUAAAUGCUAUUAUCAAUGGAAUAAAGCUCUAGGGUAACCUGAUUUCACUUUCACUAUUAAUCAAUUCUAAUUAUUUUGUUUAAUAAUCCAAAUUUAAUUAUUAAAUCAAGGAUCAAUAAAGCCUAGUAUCCAAUAAUCUCUCCCAACUUAUUUAACAUAUCAAUUUAUACCUGUAAUCUAUCUUUCAAUGGUAAAACUGACAUAAAUUACUUCAUUAAGAUAAGUUUAUCACACAAAAUCCCAUAGGUUAACUUGUAUUGCUUCCGCUCAAGAUGUUAAUGAUUCCUAUUAUUUUCAACAGAUUUAUACCUUCCCUUCCAGUAGCAAUAUAAAUCAAAUCUUCCAAGUACCAACUAUAGCACCCAAAAGCACUAGGAAUAAAUAAUAGGAAAUUGAAUUAAUGAAUUAAUACAAAAACCUGGAUUGAAGUAGGUUCAAGCUGCAUCAAGUACAUAGGAAAAUGUUUAGUUACUCAUAAUCUCAAAA
rnacentral:misc_RNA from 1 species